GUGGAUGUCUUGGAUUUUGAUCAUAGCCGUGUAUGCGUCUGACCUCUAUUGAUAUCUAUAUGAAGAUGCCUGAUCAGAGCACCGAGAUCAUUGAUGUGCUAGUACCUUAUAGAUCUUGCUCGUCAGUUUUGGAUCUGCAUCUCUUCUUUUAGAUCGUAAAGAAAAAGAUCGCUGCGCCAACUCUUUCGCAUAGAUCCAUCGGGAUCUAAACC
rnacentral:lncRNA from 1 species